AACAAUAUGGUAAACUGAAGUAGAAAUAACAAAUGCAUACGAACUCUUAGAUCAAAGGAUAGAAGAACUAAGACCAUCUCUAUCAACGGUUUCUCAUUGAAAAACUGUCCAAUAUAAAAAAUAAAAUA
rnacentral:sRNA from 1 species